UAAGAGAACCGAAGCCGGCUGAAUCAAGAAGACACCAUGAGUGGGUUAUGUGUCGAGAUUAGGAGUUAGAGUAAGAAACUGUUGUCCGAAGAAUACAAGAGAGGAUUUUUGAAGUUACCUUGGGGUUUCUAAGACGUAUCGCGAAUUCAAGAAGAUAUUUUGAGCCGCCAGAAGUGAAGAAUAAAGUGACGAUCCAUGUGAUUACAUGUUCGACGCAUGAGAAAGAAAAGAGAGACCACCAGAAGCCAUGCGAAUGCUACAACUGUCGAAAAUUCAGCAUUAAAGGUAAAAGAGAAUAACCAUCGAUUUCAUAAUAGGUUGCCGACGACUAGGACAAAAGGUGAUACUGUUAGGGAACUGUGGAUCAAGUGACCAGGCCCGUUUUGCCCAUCGGAGUAAACCACUUCUUGGGGAUAUCAAAGAGACUAUACAUCAGGGAGAAGGUGAGACUUCACAGUAUGUUAAACACAUUUGAAUUAACCGAAAACUGGAAUACCAAACGUCUUAGUUCCUGAAUUUGACAGCCGAAACAACGGAGGAAGAGUGACACAAAUCUAAGUUAGAAUUCUCACUAUGAAAGCCGACAAAAGAGUUAGGCAGAUCUAAGAAGAAGACUUCUCAAGUUGGAAGGAAGAGGAUACCUAUUUCUGAAGAUCACUUCAACGAACUAGAAUCGGAUGAUCAAUCAAAAACUAAAAAGCUAAAUCCCCAUCACAUCGGACUAGUGGCGUAUAGGAUCGCUUUACUAUCACAAUGUUCGAACCUGCAUGAUGUGUUUCACAUAUUACAGCUUCAUAAAUACACUUUCGACCCAGUUAUGUCCUACAACCAGAAUCAGUCCAAGUAAGAGAAGGUCUGACGCUUCUAGUAACUCUGGUUAGGACUGAUGAUACUAGCAUUAAACGUUUACGCGGGAGAGAGGUUUUCUUAGUGAAAGUAGCUUGGUGUUGGGCUGGUAUUGAAGAAUACACCUAGAAGCUUGAGAGAGAGAUGCGGAAGGACUACCCACACCUCUAUUCAGGUAGCGCACUUUGAAUUUUGAGGACAAAAUUCCUAAUUAGGUGGGUAGGAUGUAAACCCCGCUAAAAUCGGUAUAUAAUUAGUCAAUAAAUCGAAUUUUCAAUAGGAAAAUUAAAUACGCAAAACUGAUAUCAAAUUAGGAUAGAGCUCGUCGAAACGAGAAUUUUGGUACCAAUUUCGAAAAGUUUGGCCCAAGAUUGGGCCGGAUGGGCCGAACUGGUUGAACCGGACCCAAAAUGGGCCCAAGGCCCAACCAAACCCAAUCCACUAAAGAGGCACAGCUUCUUAUUUCCUUUCUUCUUCAUUAUUCACGCUGGGAAACAUUCUUAGGGGGAAGAACACAAGCAAAAACCUAACCCUCACUUUAAUUUCAAAUCCAUGUAACUUUUGAUCCGGAGCUCCGAUUGACGAACCGUUUGCGACCACGCGUUCACCGUGACGAGCUCUAUGAAACCCAUGGAACAAUUUGGUUCAAGUUAGCUUCCGGAACUUGUGGGCUCAAGCUAUUGAGCAUAUGGGUAUGGUGUAGAUUAAGUGGGUAUAUAUGCAUUGGGAAUAUUUAGAGGCUUGUUGGUGAUCAAAGCUUAGUUUGUGGCUAUUUUACUUGAGCUUGAAGAGGCUGUAAUUUUGUGUUGAGAAGCUGCCUUGGGUGAAUUAAGUGAUCGGCCAAGAUGCAGGUCGAGAGGCUCCUCGCUAGGCGUCUGGAUUCUGGAAAGCGAAGUAGUUCUUGGGUGUAUUUUGGGUUCUAUUUGUAUAUAUAUAUAUAUGUGUAGCUUACUCUCCAAGUAACUUAUGUAUGCUGCUCCUCUUAGAGGUUGAGGGAGAGACAGGAGUUUACUUUGGUAUUUUGGUAUAUUUUGGGGACACUUAUGUAUGUUUAUAUGUAUAUAUGUAUCCUCCGAUCAGCCUUAGCUUCGCAGGCUGAGUCAGAGGCUAGUUAUGCUGUUCCUUGGCUUUUCUUUAUCCCUUCGUUUAUUGUUCUAUCAUAUUCCUAUUAGGUUUCUUAGCACGCAAGUAAUCCUAUUUCUUGAGCGUUGAGCUUUUUAUUUUGCGAUUCUUGUUUACCCACUUUGUUUCAAGGCUCCUAGUAUAUUAAUUUUUUUCAGUAUUAUAUGUAUAUCCUUACUAUUAGAGGUCUGUAA